UACAGAGGGUGCAAGCGUUGUUCGGAAUCACUGGGCUUAAAGGGCGCGUAGGCGGGCUGUCAAGUCUGGGGUGAAAUGCCGCGGCUCAACCGUGGAACUGCCUUAGAUACUGACGGCCUCGAGGGAGGUAGGGGCGUGCGGAACUGUAGGUGGAGCGGUGAAAUGCGUUGAUAUCUACAGGAACUCCGGUGGCGAAAGCGGCGCGCUGGACCUCUUCUGACGCUGAGGCGCGAAAGCUAGGGGAGCAAACGGG
rnacentral:rRNA from 1 species